CCCCAGUAAUCUCUAAAGCCCAGUGUGGGCCCCGAACUCAUGAUCCCAAGAUCGAGUGUGGCAUACUUUACCAAACAAAUCAGUAGGUAUUGGCUGAGCACAUCGGCGGAGUGGGCGCCUCAUCGCGGGUGCACACGGGCCUGGCCCACUGGUCUCUGUCGCAGCGAUCGGAGAACCUCACGGGAGCAAACGGCCUGACACAAUGCGGGCACGGGGUCAGACGUCGCGAGCCGCACCCCGCCCCCCAGCCCUCCCUGACGCUUGCCUUCUGGCGGGCAGAACUCUCUUCCCGUUCUAAAAGUGAAAAUGACUUCCCAGCUUCCCUUGUAUCUGGGAAAAGGGCAUGUUACCAAAACCCGCUCCGCAGAUUUACUGGAAGGGUUCUGGCAAAGAUGUUCACUUGAAAAGAGCAAUUCCCAGAGAGGGAUUUCCAAAGCUGCAUCUCCCACCGUCACGGAGGAACUGUGCUCCCGUUUCUUUGGUUGAAGUCCUAACUCCGAGUCCUCAGAAUGGGACCCUAUUUGGAGACAGGGUCUUUAGAGAGGUGAUCAAGUCACAAGGAGGCCAUCAGGGCCUAGAGGACAGGCUCACUUAGAGCCCCGACAUCACUGAACUGACUCCGGAACCAUUGCUUCCAGGCUUCUGGUAAAGAGACAGUCCCUGUUGUUCAAGCUGCUUCAGAUGUGGGAGUUUUGUGACCCCAAACCACAAGCAUCCUAACAGAUACAUGUAGGGACAGAGGCCUUGUACCGAGACAGGUAUCAGAGGGACACUGAGAAGACUUGUCUAGGGGGCAACCCAGCCUGGGUCUUUUAAGAUACUCGGAAAGUAAUCAAGUGAGUGCCUGGAUGAAAGGCACUUCAGAAAGGCAGGGUCACACAGAGAGCAGAAGCCACCAGCACUGUGGGAGCAACCUAGUAGCGACAAGCCUUUGGUGUCCUAGGAGUCCCAGCGGGGAGCUGGGCGGGUUGGGGAGUGAGCUCUGGGGCUCUUCGGGGGAGCCUCGCCUCGCUGGUCCCUCUGGGAGAGGCCUUGUUCCCUUGGGAUGGGAUGGGGGUGCGGGGAGAGGCACCUUCCUUCCUUCUGGGGGUCAGAACACCAGGGGAGGGGCGGGGAUCCCAAUCAGGAGUUUCCCAGAGUUCAGGGGAGAGAGGAGGGAGCAGAGUUCAGGUGGAGUAGAGAUGGGGCGGAAAGCGUGGCAGCGGACAGUUCCGGAGACGCCCUUCCCUGAUGCCGCACACAGCCUCACCCCGCCGUACAACAAUUAGGCCCCGAUGGCGAACGACCGUAUUUACGGAACGUGGAACCGUAUCCCAACUGCCAAACAUCGUCCAUUUGCAUCACUUUUCAUGCAAGACUUUUCACAGGUACUACCUACUUCCCUGUCUUUUUCAGCAGAGUUGACUAGAUGUCCUCUAGCCUUUUCUCGAUGACUCACGGCUGUCACUAUGAAACAGAGGUGUCCCGUGCGGAGGGGUGGGGGUGCCGCACCCCUUCGGCUCUGCCUUUAUUCCCAGCCCCACACUUGCGAAUCUGUGUGGUCAGGGAAAAGGCCACCAAGCCUCUCCAAGGAUGUCUCCUCUCCUUGGCCGCCUACUUCACCGGCUGGCUGUGGAGUAACUUGGAGAAUCAGUGAACCAGCGCAGAGAGAGGCUUUCUCACAGGGCUGUGUCUGCCUUUGGGUCCAACUGUCUUUUGCUGUUGGGUCAUCAUUGGUGAUCUUUUCCCUCUCUGGAGGCUUCCCUUGCUAGAAGACCCUUUACCCACACCCCACCCUGACCUCCACGGGCUAUGGGCUGGGAAGCCAGAGGUCAGCCUCCGACUGCAUUGCCGGCUGUAGUCCAGGAAGGCUCUGUGUGGAGGCCUGAGAAUCUGGCUUUGGUUCAAGCGAUUUGUGUCCACUAUUUUGGGGGCUUAGAGGCUGUUUUCACUUCUGGAUUUGGGGCUGCCUUCCACAGAACCGAGGGUGUUGGAGCCAGACCUCCAGUGUGCUCAGAUGGCUGAGGGAGGUGUCUAGCAUCUACUCCUACUGCUUGGUCCAUCGUGGGUCGCGAGGCCAGGCGCAGACCCGUCCUCCCCGCCGUGGUACACAGCAGGGCAUGGAACAGAUCCUUGGCUGUGGCUGUUGCCCAGAGCUGCUCCCCGGAUUCCCUCUUUGAAGGAUGGGGGGGGUCCCUGAGUUUCCACCUCCCCACCUUGCCCUCUAAGGGGGCCUUGAGGAGCACGUUGAGGGCUUCCAGGCUCUCACAUGGACUGUGGGGACUCGGGAUUUGUGGCCCAGGCGUAGGAAACGGGCAGUUUGCUGAAAUGGUGGAGAAUUCCAUGACUGGCUGUGGGGCCCACUGCUCGAUGCCUGGGCUUCUGCACUUGGCUCUGGCAUGCUGAGGGACCUCUUUGGGGCUCAGUCUCGUCACCUGGAAUGCGAGGUCAAUGCAUAAGGAGCCACUGUCCCACGGCCUCUGAAGCACUGAGCACAGACCCUGGUAGGAAGUCAGGGCCCAUUAAAUGGAAGUGGGUGAUGCUGGUCGGAAAAACCAGUCCCGGGAGGCAGUGAGGCUGGGGGGUGGGGUGGGCACAGAGUCCGAGCUCCUUCGGACAGAAGGGAACCGCAGGAGCUGUUAGGACACAGCGAUGGGGCAUGAGUAGAAGACGUCUACGUGUCUGCAUCCAGCAAGUUCUAGGCCCCAGGCUGGAGUUUGCAUCAUCCAGUGGGGGUAACUCCUAGGAUCUGGGCAGGCUAGGUGGGGGUAUGGAGAAGUGAGGGGUCCUGGGGGGGCUGAGGUGUUUGGGGAGCUUUAACUUUCAUAUCAAGGAGCUCUCCGUGGCCGUGGCUGUGGCUGUCCCGUGGCCAUGGCCGUGGCUGUCCCAUGUCCCCUCCCCCCAUCCUUCCUGCUGGGUCCCCAUCAGCUCUCCCUGUUGGGGAUUAAUGAUGGCCAGAGAUCCUCUGAUACCCCUCCCUGCAGACCUGGGAUCUAGUUCCCCUUCUCUGGAAUUUUGGCCACAGAAAGCGCAUACAAGACCCCAGACUGCAUGGACAGGGAAAGGCACCCAGCCUUUCCACCAUCUCAGGCAAGACGCCACGCACAGGAGAAAAGUCAUCUUGGAGAGCCUGGCCAUCCAAGCCACCGUCUGAGACCGCCCGGUAACUCCAGUCUGAGCCAUGGGUCGCAGAGCCGCCCUGGGCGUUCUGUCAGACUCCUGGCCCAUGACGUCAUGAGAGAUGAUAAAACAGCUCUUGUCUUAGGCAAGACAUUUUUUUCUUAAAUUUCGGGGUGGUUUACUGUGCAGAAAUAGAAAACAGAACCAAAUAAGGACCAAAUAAGGUUUAUUUGCAGUAUUUUGAAUGGGAACCAGGAAUUUCAGGGAUCAGAAGGGUUCUCGCCAUGAUGUCUCUGUGGAAAUAGUCCUUGAGGUAAUGGUUUGACUGUAGAAUGCAGUAACCCCCUUCCCUGCAGCUGAUUAAGGACUGAGAUCCCACUGACCGGAGAAAGCGGACAGGUGUGUGGUCUCACGCCCGCAGGGGUGGGCUCCACUGCUCACAUGGUCGCAUGGGGCCACGCAAGGAUUCAGGACGUACUGGGGAGAGGAGGUUCUGUCCUCUCUCCCACUGGGUACUGGAAGAGGGUGGAAGCCUCCGAGCAGAAAGAACCGGCAGCAGGACCAGCAGACGCAGUUUCCAGAACUCGGCCAGCUCUCCUUUCCCUCAGUCGGAAGUUCUGCCCUUGGGGGGCGCGGCCACACUCCCAGCCUGGAACCGGCAGGCCCUGGCCCGCCCCGGCACUCAGAACCCCAGAUCCUGGAGGACUGGGUCCCCGCACCGGCACUCAGAACCCCAGGUCCAGGAGGGCUGAAUUCCGAACUCCCUCACUCAGGUCAUCUGUCAUGUCCGCGGUCGAGCUGGACUCGGGACCCUGGCUCUCCUGGGCUGUUUUCUGGGGGGAUUUUUUUCCCCUGGGUCUGUGCUGUUUCCUAUACUUUUGUGGCUGAGCACAGGAACACACUUAAGUAAUAAUUAUUUCGCAAUUUCUGGGACGCGGACUCCCAGAGGUUCAGCCUUCCGCUGAGUGGUCACCUGCUGUCACUCGGGCAGGCGUGGGUUUGCUGUCUUCAGUGGAGGGGACAGCGGCCCAGAGCAGGAACUCCAAGCUCAGCAGGAGAAACGCGGACGCCGGGGAGAGAACUUCAAAGGGGUCAGCUUCGGUCCUCAACCGUUGACAUUCUAGGUGGGGAUGUGGCAUCUGCUUCCUCCAAGUGGGCGGGGGAAGGCAGGAAGCCGUGACUAAGCAGGUCUGAGCUGUCACGCUGCUCCUGGAAUGGGGUUCUGAAAGUAGGAGAGGUGCUGGUCCCAGAAGGCCUCCUGGAGGAGGUGAUAGGUCUGGAUUGGGAAGGAGGAGGGAGAGAGACUAUCUAGGAGCAAACGUUUUGUGCAAAGUUUCAGAAACAGACAAGCACACUCAUGUUUGCGGCCUGAUAAGAACGUGGCCAGAGAUAGACAGCAGGCCCGGCCAAGGGAGCAGGAGAGGUGCCAUCAGAGAAACGGGGGCUCCCAGACACUCGGGAGCGCCUUCUCUGAUCCAGGGGCCCCGGUGCCACGCAUCCGGGCCCAAGGCCAAACCUUCAGCUCUUUCUGUCCCACUCACAUUUCCCUCUUCUCUCUGUCUGGGCGAGUCACGCUGCAUGGCUGAUACCGGUCAUCUGCCUCCCGCUUGCCGCGUGCCAGGCACGGCUGGAAGCCCCUGGGACCAAGGGCAUUCUGUGUGUUCUGACCAGGAGAGAACAAGUGUGACAGCUCAGGGAGCAGAGUGACAGAGGCUUGGUGCCUGACCCUAUGGAGCCCUGGUCCCUCAGGGGGGCCGGGCCAGGAAGGAGCUGGUGUCACAGUUCCUGUCCUUCUGAGUGUGGGACCCAGGGUCACUGUCCCUGUCUCCCAAGUGCGGGACCCAGUGUCACAGUCCAGGUUGUCACCCACGAAACCACCUGAAGGUCAUUUGGAGACACAGGAGGGACAGACUACGUUUAGCCGUUUUUCCUCUUGUCUGCUCGGGCCACCUUUGCGAGCUUUGAUUUCCUCCUAAGACAGUUGUAUCUGCCGUUCCGUGUUGUUCUGAGUGAUGUGGAGAACAGAGGCAAAGAAACGGAGAUACAUUUCACCUUCCUUCGAACCUGCAGCCUGUCGGCAAAUACGCGGGGCAGAGAGUAACCUUCGCCCAGGAACUCCCAGCUCUCUAUUAACGUUGUCCGCGAGGAGAAAACAGCCUUAGCUUCACCACAGCCAGGCCUCAAGGAUGCUGUGCAGCUCCUGCAACAGAAGAAGGUCCUUUUGGGAACUUCCUUGGUCACGACCUGCCCCAGCUCCCAAGUGUAUGAUCAGUUGCUUCUCACAAUCCCGGAGCAGCUCGUUCCGCCCCCGGGUCCUGUCCUCGUGCUUUCAUAAAACCACCUUUUUGCACCGAAAA